rnacentral:rRNA from 1 species
GGUUAAGCGACCAAGCGUACACGGUGGAUGCCCUGGCAGUCAGAGGCGAUGAAGGACGUGCUAAUCUGCGAAAAGCGCCGGCGAGGUGAUAUGAACCCUUGACCCGGCGAUGUCCGAAUGGGGAAACCCGGUGCACUACGGUGCAUCAUCGUUAGCUGAAUACAUAGGCUAACGAGGCGAACCGGGGGAACUGAAACAUCUAAGUACCCCGAGGAAAAGAAAUCAACCGAGAUUCCCCCAGUAGCGGCGAGCGAACGGGGAGGAGCCCAGAGCCUGAAUCAGCUUGUGUGUUAGUGGAAGCGUCUGGAAAGUCGCACGGUACAGGGUGAAAGUCCCGUACACGAAAACGCACAGGCUGUGAGCUCGAUGAGUAGGGCGGGACACGUGGUAUCCUGUCUGAAUAUGGGGGGACCAUCCUCCAAGGCUAAAUACUCCUGACUGACCGAUAGUGAACCAGUACCGUGAGGGAAAGGCGAAAAGAACCCCGGCGAGGGGAGUGAAAAAGAACCUGAAACCGUGUACGUACAAGCAGUGGGAGCCUCUUUUAUGGGGUGACUGCGUACCUUUUGUAUAAUGGGUCAGCGACUUAUAUUCUGUAGCAAGGUUAACCGUAUAGGGGAGCCGAAGGGAAACCGAGUCUUAACUGGGCGUUAAGUUGCAGGGUAUAGACCCGAAACCCGGUGAUCUAGCCAUGGGCAGGUUGAAGGUUGGGUAACACUAACUGGAGGACCGAACCGACUAAUGUUGAAAAAUUAGCGGAUGACCUGUGGCUGGGGGUGAAAGGCCAAUCAAACCGGGAGAUAGCUGGUUCUCCCCGAAAG